UCUUCUUCAACUCUUCUUCUCCUACUUCUAUCAUGGUAGAUCAGGCUUCUCAGUCACCUCGCACUCUCGUUUAUAUGAGGUCUUGGGUAGGCACAUCUCCAUCCACCAUUUUGCAUCUUAUGGCAACAGAAGAGCAGAAAAAGGCGAAAGCCUAUCAAUCCAAAUAUGAGUAAGUCAAAUUCUCUCCUGAACAAACUAUCCUUCAACAACGUCAGCCUCCCACUUCACUUAAAAGCAGUAGGUGCUCUUUAUCUUUUGUCUUUUCCUUCUUACUCCCAUUUUUGACUUUUCCCUUUCUCUUUUCUUUUAUCUUUUCCUUGUUUCUUCUCUUUUUUUUUCUUCGUGCGGUCUUCUUCUUGAAGGCCCCUCUGCAAAUGUCAGGCUUAACAAACUAUCGAACUCAUGCCGAAAUCAACAGACAAUGGACAAGCGAGACCCGACCUCAGUACAGGCACGAACGAAACACAGCAAGUCUCGGCCUUAGACGAAGGACACGAACGCGCAUCUAGCUUAGGCGUUUCAUCGAGCACUUGGCGUGGGACCUCCUGGGCAACGAGCAGCAGCUGAAACGGGACCUCAAUCGAAGACCGGGACAAACGGCAUGGGACAAACCGGGGCUUAACAGCUAGAAAGCAUAUGACAUAGCCGGGGUCGGAACUUAUACGACCUGAACGACGGAGGCUUCGGGCGCCGGUCCUUGGCAUGCCAACCAGCCUCCCCCUUGGCCGAACCAGCGUCUCAUCUCAGCAUUGAAGGCGUGUCCCAUCCGUUGCUGGCCUACUCCCCUCUCUCUGCCAUCGAUCGUCCUCCGCGCACCCGUCGACGACCUCUGCGCGCGUGAGUUGCAGAGAAGGGAAGGAAACAGAAAGAAUAAGGGGCACGCCCAGCCCCUGUGGGCUAAUUUUUUUUUUUUAAUUAUCAAAAAAUAAGGUAGGAAAAAUAGAAAACAAAACUCAAUA